rnacentral:lncRNA from 1 species
CAUCUGUAACCCGAGGUACCACUGUAGUGCAAAUGCAAAGAUUGCAACAUUGGUCAAAAGGCCUACAGAUUGGGGACAACAUCAAAGAGAACUGUGUUGCUAAGGAUGAAGUAAUCUCAAAUUCACCCUUAUCUCACACCCUUAUCUAGAGUGCUACUUCAAAAACAAUGGAACCCGUCCCAUUAGGGCAGCAUUCUUGGCUUCCCACCUGCAUAUAUAGGCAUGAACUCUGUGAAGGCAUCACAUUUGCUAGUUCAUCCUUGGGACUCCUUUCAACGGCACACAAGUCUGAGAAGAACCAUGAAGUUCGUCUGUCUCUUCUUUGCCGUGGUCUUCCUUGGCAUUUCCCAGUCUGAUGAAGCCGAUGUGCAAAAGAAAUGGAGAAAGCCCUUGGAAGACUUGCGUGGCCUUCAGGGCCAAGACCCAGCUUUGCCAGCUGACGAUGAUGAAGCUUUGAAGGAUGAAGAAGAUGUUCCCCGCCCAAGAAAUCCCAUCGUAUGCAAUUCUAUGGGGGGGAGAUGCCGUCACAAGUGUGGUCUCUCUGAGAAGUAUGUUGGACGAUGCUUUGCAACUAUGUCCUGCUGUGUGCGUUUUCAGUAGAGAGCAUGCGCGAGAAAGAGGCAAGAAAGACCAACAGCGUAUGAUCGGAAGAGAGGAAGAAACCGAUCGAGAUGAAUUAAUGCUAAAUCAUUCCUUUUCAAUUAAAAUUGAGUUUGCAUCCAAUCAUUCUUACUCCAGGGACUCAAUUACUCCUAGUUAUCACUAGCGCUGAACUACCACUGCUGUUGUAACUACUACUACAAACUCUCCCUGUGCCCCGAGUUAUCCGAAAAAGUCUCAAUUUUCUUGAUUUCUUGAUUUGAUUUUAUUUAUUUUAUUUCUAUGCAACUGUUCAUCCACAUGAAUCUCAAAGCAGCUUUGAAAGAGCAAAUAACAAUAACAGAACAGAACAUCACAAAUCAUAUAGAAUGAUGAACAAAUCAGUAAAACACUAUUAACAAAACAACAACAACAAAAAGCAAAGCAGCAUAAUCACAACAGAAGUCAUAUUAUGGGAUUCACGAAGUACUACAGCAUUCACAAUCUAUAAAACAAUCUUAACAGCAUUAACAAAAUAGCAAACAAAAAAAUAAACUAAGCCCUGUUGAAUUCAUACACAAACUCUUCUCAAAUCUCAUGAUUUCAGCUCAUUAAAAUACACAUCGACAUCUUGCCCAUGGCAGGAACUCCUUUCUGAAGGUUUAUUGGGUUGGAUGUGGGGCAGCACAGGGGCCUCUCCUCCCUCCCAGUUCUUUCUCUGGAAACAGUUCCCUUAUGAAGGCUCCUAGGAGUGGGUGCUGUUGACAGUUCCUGGCUAUCUGCCCAGGAAAGCAGAAAUGCAGAGAGAAAGAGCUUUUUAGACACAGGGAAAACAAUCUUACGAUCAAGCCAACAUUGCUUGGAAUAACGCACCACCGGCUCCCUGGCUGUUACUUCCUAGCAAUUAGACCCCUCCUGCUGCUUACGGUGGCUGCUAAGGGCAAACCGUCUUUGGGCUCCUUGUUUUGCGACAUGCAGAGCAUUCCUAGUUCUUAGGGAAGGACGGGGGCUCUGGCAAACUCUCCAGAGACGGCGAGUCACUUGGCUGCUGCACAGAUCGGACUCCUACCUCUGUGCACUGCUCCUGUCCUUCAUCACCCAUUAUUUCCCAACUCCUUCCUCUCUCCUGUCUCAAACCACCAGUCCAAAACAUUACUGUCUCCCCCUUUGCCCUCACUGUAAUGCUUCUGCGGUCUCCGCCUCUUCUCACCAGCAGUCCAGUCCCUGACAGGUGGAGGAUGAGGCAAGGCAGGUGGAAACAGAUAUUGCCUGACAAACAGCACCAAGUCCCCCCCCUCACAGUACUUGCUCUUGUUAUUAUCCCAAGGAAAAGGGGCACCCCAAAUUCUCUUCUAGGG